GACGAACCGUGCGAACGUUAUUCGGAAUCACUGGGCUUAAAGCGCGUGUAGGCGGGUCGGCACGUCGGUCGCUGAAAUCCCCCGGCUCAACCGGGGAAGCGGCGCCGAUACGGCCGGCCUCGAGGGACGUAGGGGGGCUGGAACUUCCGGUGGAGCGGUGAAAUGCGUUGAGAUCGGAAGGAACGCCCGUGGCGAAAGCGAGCCCCUGGACGUCUACUGACGCUGAGACGCGAAAGCCAGGGGAGCGAACGGG
rnacentral:rRNA from 1 species